GAGAGGCCGGGGAGACAGACUCGCGGCGGACACGCGGGAAGGACGCGGGGGAAGCGUCCAAGGCGUUUGUCCCCCGGGUCGCCGAGCCCUCCUCGUCCCCUUCGCACGGCUGAGCGACCCUGCUGGGCAGGGGGGGACGCGGGAGUCUGGGAUGCCGGGGCCCUCAACUGUUGCUGUAGGAAGCUGCUGGGGUGAGGAGCGGGGCGGGGGCCGCGACCUGGAGCUGGGCAUGGAGAGGGCACGGAGCCAGAGGGCGAAAGGCGGCUGUGGGCGCGCCGGGAUCCCGGGCGCCGUGUUCUCUCCGCAUCUGCGGCUCGCAUCUGCCAUCCCCGACCCCCGUCACCGGCAAUGAGUCCCCCAGGGCCUCUCCUCCGGCUCCCAUUCCUCUCUGAGUCUCGUAAAAGGAUCCCGCCUCUGGCCUCAGGAAAUCAAGCCCUGCUCGCCCACCGGGACUUCUGACCCUGGCCCCCAGCCCUCGGAUGGUGGCCCCGUCCUGGCUCGAGCACAGACCCCCGGCCGCGGGAAAAUCGAGGAGAGCUUAUCUGGACAGGGUGCCCUCGCGCUGGAUAUAUCUUGGAGCGGGCCCAGGACGUGGCGGCCGUGGCUCUGAGCCUGUUUCUAAACUCGGAAGAAGAAGAGCUCGAAAGGGACAGGGAGGUGUCCCCCCUUUUCUGUCCCUCUCUGGAUAUGUGUCCUCUGACCCUUGCCCUCAUCUCUUGUUUGUCUGUCCGUCUGCCUCUCUCUGUGUCUGUCUUGGUGUUUCCGCAGGACCCUCCGUUGGACAUGGGUGGGGCCCUGGGGCCAGCCCUGCUGCUGGCCUCGCUCCUGGGUGCCUGGGCAGGGCCGGGCCCAGGGCAAGGUGACCAGGCUGUGACAGUGGCCAUGGUGUUUGGUAGCUCAGGGCCACCACAGACCCAGGCCCGUGCCCGCCUCAUCCCCCCGAGCUUCCGGGACCUGCCCCUGAACAUCCAGCCACUCACUGUGGGAGUCAACGAUACCGACCCCAGCAGUCUCCUCACCCAGAUCUGCGGACUCCUGGGAGCUGCCCGUGUCCACGGCAUCGUCUUUGAGGACAACGUGGGCACCGAGGCGGUGGCCCAGCUCCUGGACUUCGUCUCCUCCCAGACUCAUGUGCCCAUCCUCAGCAUCAGCGGGGGCUCUGCUGUGGUCCUUACCCCCAAGGAGCCAGGCAUGGUGGUGCACCUCUGUAAUCCCAGCACAUGGGAGGCUGAGGCAGGAAGAUUGCAAGUUCACGGCCAACCUGGACUACAUAGUGAGUUCAAGGCCAACCUGAUCCGCACAGGGAGACCCUGUUUCAAAAAAAAAAAAAAAAAUUCACCUAUAGGGGACAGCACUCCAGGGGAAGUCACUGUUCCCAGCAGGUGGGAGGCUGAGGUGACCUUCCAGGUACUUGCAGUCUCCUGGGGAGAACAUUCUCAACAGAUCACCUGCAGUUCCAAAUUGGGAAGUGUACUCAGAAGGAAAAACCCAGGAGGCCACAGGGCAGUCUCACGGGGCUCCUGUUUGGAUAGAGAUCUCCAGAAAUAAUGUCCAUGUUGAGACCUGGAGUAUAAGAGGCAGGAGUCAGGGAGGGUGAGGGCUGGGAGGCUUCCAGACCAGGAGCAGGUAGCGAUGUUAGAAGUGUUAGAGUAGAGAGAGUCUGGAGGAGGAGGUGAGUCCCAACCACAUGGGAGGCACUGGACAUUUCUUAAGUGGCAGCCAGGGAAGGUUUGGAGGGAAGAGGCUGAUCUGAUUUGCCUUUAUUUAUUUAUUUGGCGGGAGGCACUGGACAUUUCUUAAGUGGCAGCCAGGGAAGAGGCUGAUCUGAUUUGCCUUUAUUUAUUUAUUUGGCACUGGGGAUUUAACAUUCCCAGCCCCAUCUGCCCUCUUUUUUGAGACAGGAUCUUGCUAAGUUGUCCAGGUAGGAAUCCACCUUGUGAUCCUCCUGCCUCCACCACUGUACUUGGCUUGAUUUGAUUCAUUUCACUACUACUUUAUCAUGGAGAAUUUUGAGCCUAAAAGACUAUAAUGAAUCCCCACCUACCUCCCACUCUCCUUGGCCAAGAACCCCAUCUUCAUGCCCACCUACUUCUCCCUCUUCUGUGCUCAACUGAAGCAAAGGUCAGUCAUCCCACUGCUGCACCUAGAACUAUUUCAGUACGUAUCUUCAGCAGAUAAGGGCUUUAAAAAGUAAAGCUACCAUAUGUUAUCAUGUCUAAAUAAUAAAAAUUCCUUAACAUUACCAGAUACCCAGCCAGUGCUCACGUCUCCCCAUUGUCUCAUAAAUCCCACAGAUGUUUAUUUUUAAGUCCACUCAAAUCACGUAGGUCCACAUGGAGCAGCUGGUGGAUAUGGUUGCUAAGUCUCAACUUGUAGGCUUCCCCUUUAUCUCUUUCUCUUUUAACUGCAAGUUGCUUAUUGAAGAAACUGGGUUGCUCGGCCUGUAUUGCUUCUCUCAUUGGCUUUUCAGAAAGACUGGAAGGUGGCAGUGUAGUGACAUUUCUGAGGCGCUACAGUGCCACCGUUAGAGGACACUGUGGCUUCCGGCUGCCAGGGUCUUGGGCUUCCGAGGUGGCAGAGGCAAUGGGCGAGUGGGAGGACCAUUCUCACCCCUCCCAGUUAUCUUUGCACCUCGGGGAUCAGCUCUCAGGACAGUGGUUCUCAGCCCUCACAGUGCUUGCAGAAAAAUACAGAUCCCCCUCGUCCCCCGUCACACCUCUGAAACCCAGAUUCAGUAGGUCUGGGGAAGCACUUCUCAAAUUAGCGGGCUCAAGAGAAAGCAGAAGAGCUUUUAAAAGGCAGAUUCUGAUCCAGUCUGGGGUGCGGCCCGAGAAUAUGCAUUUCUAACAAGUUCUUCCGUGCUGCUGUGUGUGGCCAGGAACGGUCGCAUGGGGGCCGGGCGUGCAUAGUUUACAGAGGUCCACAGGUGAUUCCUAUGGGCAGCCGGACAAGGAGCUUCGUGGAGCGGGGCACUGCGCUUCGGUGCAGGCGUCCGGAACCCAGAGCAUCCUGCUAGGCAGGGGCUUCUGGAGCGGAUGGAGGGGCUGACGGGAGGGGGGGCGGGGCGGGGCUCACGUCG
rnacentral:lncRNA from 1 species